rnacentral:rRNA from 1 species
AUUGAACGCUGGCGGCAGGCCUAACACAUGCAAGUCGAGCGAGCGGCGGACGGGUGAGGAAUGUAUGGGGACUGUCCGACAGAGGGGGAUCAAUACUGGAAACGGUAGCUAAACACGCAUACUAUGGGAUUACGCAUAUGGGAAUAGCUAGUAGGUGAGGGAAUGGCCUACCUAGGCGACGAUCCCUAGCUGGGCUGAGAGGGUGAUCGGCCACACUGGGACUGAGACACGGCCCAGACUCCUACGGAGGCAGCAGUGGGUAAUAUUGCACAAUUGACGAAAGCCUGAUGCAGCCAUGCCGCGUGUAUGAAGAAGGCUCUCGGGUUGUAAAGUACUUUCAGUCGGGAGGCGUUACCGAAAGAAGAAGCCCCGGCUAACUCCGUGCCAGCAGCCGCGGUAAUUC